rnacentral:rRNA from 1 species
AGUGAACGCUGGCGGUAGGCCUAACACAUGCAAGUCGAACGGCAGCACAGCAAGAGCUUGCUCUUACGGGUGGCGAGUGGCGGACGGGUGAGGAAUACAUCGGAAUCUACUUUUUCGUGGGGGAUAACGUAGGGAAACUUACGCUAAUACCGCAUACGACCUACGGGUGAAAGCAGGGGAUCUUCGGACCUUGCGCGAUUGAAUGAGCCGAUGUCGGAUUAGCUAGUUGGCGGGGUAAAGGCCCACCAAGGCGACGAUCCGUAGCUGGUCUGAGAGGAUGAUCAGCCACACUGGAACUGAGACACGGUCCAGGCUCCUACGGGAGGCAGCAGUGGGGAAUAUUGGACAAUGGGCGCAAGCCUGAUCCAGCCAUACCGCGUGGGUGAAGGAGGCCUUCGGGUUGUAAAGCCCUUUUGUUGGGAAAGAAAAGCAGCAGGUUAAUACCCCGCUGUUCUGACGGUACCCAAAGAAUAAGCACCGGCUAACUUCGUG